AGAUACCCCACUAUGCCUAGCCAUAAACAUUGACAGUACUUUACACCCACUGUUCGCCUGGGCACUACGAGCGCAAGCUUAAAACCCAAAGGACUUGGCGGUGCUUUAGACCCCCCUAGAGGAGCCUGUUCUAGAACCGAUAAUCCCCGUUCAACCUCACCCUUUCUUGUUCAUCCCGCCUAUAUACCACCGUCGUCAGCUUACCCUCUGAAGGUUUAAUAGUAAGCACAAUUGGCACAGCCCAAAACGUCAGGUCGAGGUGUAGCGUAUGAGAGGGGAAGAAAUGGGCUACAUUCACCCUUUACGGUGUACUACGAAAGAUGCAAUUGAAACAUUCAUCAGAAGGAGGAUUUAGCAGUAAG
rnacentral:rRNA from 1 species